rnacentral:rRNA from 1 species
UGACGAGUGGCGGACGGGUGAGUAAUACUUAGGUAUCUGUCCUUCGGAGGGGGAUAACCAUUGGAAACGAUGGCUAAUACCGCAUAACGUCUGAGGACCAAAGGGGGCUUUUAGCUCUCACCGAGGGAGGAGCCUAAGCGAGAUUAGCUAGUUGGUGGGGUAAAGGCCUACCAAGGCGACGAUCUCUAGCUGUUCUGAGAGGAAGAUCAGCCACACUGGGACUGAGACACGGCCCAGACUCCUACGGGAGGCAGCAGUGGGGAAUAUUGCACAAUGGGGGAAACCCUGAUGCAGCCAUGCCGCGUGUGUGAAGAAGGCCUUCGGGUUGUAAAGCACUUUCAGUCGUGAGGAAAGGGUGUAAGUUAAUACCUUACAUCUGUGACGUUAGCGACAGAAGAAGCACCGGCUAACUCCGUGCCAGCAGCCGCGGUAAUACGGAGGGUGCGAGCGUUAAUCGGAAUUACUGGGCGUAAAGCGCACGCAGGCGGUUUGUCAAGCUAGAGGUGAAAGCCCCGCGCUCAACGUGGGAAUGGCCUUUAGAACUGGCAGACUAGAGUCUUGGAGAGGGGAGUGGAAUUCCAGGUGUAGCGGUGAAAUGCGUAGAGAUCUGGAGGAACAUCAGUGGCGAAGGCGACUCCCUGGCCAAAGACUGACGCUCAUGUGCGAAAGUGUGGGUAGCGAACAGGAUUAGAUACCCUGGUAGUCCACACCGUAAACGCUGUCUAUUAGCUGUUUGUGUAUCUGAUACGUGAGUAGCGAAGCUAACGCGCUAAAUAGACCGCCUGGGGAGUACGGCCGCAAGGUUAAAACUCAAAUGAAUUGACGGGGCCCGCACAAGCGGUGGAGCAUGUGGUUUAAUUCGAUGCACGCGA